UACAGAGGGCUCGAGCGUUAUGCGGAAUCACUGGGCUUAAAGCGUGUGUAGGCGGAUCGUUAAGUACCUUGUGAAAUUCCACGGCUUAACCGUGGAACUGCUUGGUAUACUGGCGGUCUUGAGCCAGCUAGGGGCUACCGGAACAAAUGGUGGAGCGGUGAAAUGCGUAGAUAUCAUUUGGAACGCCAAUGGUGAAAACAGGUAGCUGGGGCUGUGCUGACGCUGAGACACGAAAGCCAGGGGAGCAAAGGGG
rnacentral:rRNA from 1 species